rnacentral:rRNA from 1 species
UACGUAGGGUGCAAGCGUUGUCCGGAAUUAUUGGGCGUAAAGGGUGCGUAGGCGGGUCUUUAAGUCAGGGGUGAAAUCCUGGAGCUCAACUCCGGAACUGCCUUUGAUACUGAAGAUCUUGAGUUCGGGAGAGGUGAGUGGAACUGCGAGUGUAGAGGUGAAAUUCGUAGAUAUUCGCAAGAACACCAGUGGCGAAGGCGGCUCACUGGCCCGAUACUGACGCUGAGGCACGAAAGCGUGGGGAGCAAACAGG